rnacentral:rRNA from 2 species
UAGGGAAUCUUCCGCAAUGGGCGAAAGCUUGACGGAGCAACGCCGCGUGAGUGAUGAAGGUCUUCGGAUCGUAAAACUCUGUUAUUAGGGAAGAACAAAUGUGUAAGUAACUAUGCACGUCUUGACGGUACCUAAUCAGAAAGCCACGGCUAACUACGUGCCAGCAGCCGCGGUAAUACGUAGGUGGCAAGCGUUAUCCGGAAUUAUUGGGCGUAAAGCGCGCGUAGGCGGUUUUUUAAGUCUGAUGUGAAAGCCCACGGCUCAACCGUGGAGGGUCAUUGGAAACUGGAAAACUUGAGUGCAGAAGAGGAAAGUGGAAUUCCAUGUGUAGCGGUGAAAUGCGCAGAGAUUUGGAGGAACACCAGUGGCGAAGGCGACUUUCUGGUCUGUAACUGACGCUGAUGUGCGAAAGCGUGGGGAUCAAACAGG